GCGAUGAGCUAAUUUGCAUAAGUCAAUGGACAUUCGCUAUGCGAACGGAUGAAUGUGGUCAUCUGGUCCAUUGCCGCAAUACGCAGGAAAGACGUCUGUCUAUGACAGGCGU
rnacentral:sRNA from 1 species